rnacentral:rRNA from 1 species
CCUACGGGAGGCAGCAGUGAGGAAUAUUGGUCAAUGGACGAGAGUCUGAACCAGCUAAGUAGCGUGAAGGAUGACUGCCCUAUGGGUUGUAAACUUCUUUUAUAUGGGAAUAAAAUGUUCCACGUGUGGGAUUUUGUAUGUACCAUAUGAAUAAGGAUCGGCUAACUCCGUGCCAGCAGCCGCGGUAAUACGGAGGUUCCGAGCGUUAUCCGGAUUUAUUGGGUUUAAAGGGUGCGUAGGUGGAUUGUUAAGUCAGUUGUGAAAGUUUGCGGCUCAACCGUAAAAUUGCAGUUGAAACUGGCAGUCUUGAGUACAGUAGAGGUGGGCGGAAUUCGUGGUGUAGCGGUGAAAUGCUUAGAUAUCACGAAGAACUCCGAUUGCGAAGGCAGUUCACUGGACUGCAACUGACACUGAGGCUCGAAAGUGUGGGUAUCAAACAGGAUUAGAUACCCUAGUAGUC